UAAAGUUUAGUUUAUAUAAAACAAAUGUUUUGAAAACAUUAAUAGGAGGUUUCUCCAACUUUUA
rnacentral:tRNA from 1 species